UGAAAUCCGAGGUGUUCAUCUCAAGGGUUAUCUUUGGAUUGCUUCAAUUAGUUCCCACUAUUAUGGUUUCUCCAAAGUAUAAAGCAAAAGAAAGGAAAUAACUUUAUACCUCAAUUCCAUAUAAUUAAUUUGUAGAAUAUUAGAUCAUUCACAUAUUAUAAAUAUUUAUUUGUAUUUAAUUUUCUUUUAUUUAUAAUUGUAUUCUUAGCAAUCAUUUCCAUUUUUUCUUUAUCAUUUUUUGAAUCAAGCAAUCAUUUCCAUGUAAAUAAGCAAGUGCACAAAAUGUGUUGUUCAAAGUUCAUGAUCAUGCAAAACUAAAUUUUGGAGUUAUCGUGCCACUUGCUAGUUUUGCACAAAUUAAACUACAAGACAUUUUCCUAUUAUUAGGACUUGUAACAAUAUAAUUCUUCUAAUUCAAUUCUUUUACAUUAU
rnacentral:lncRNA from 1 species